rnacentral:rRNA from 1 species
AUAAUACUCCAUAGAUUAGAGACACUGGAAUGUUCUUUAGUCGAAAGUUCUGGCGCCUUAGGAUGGAUCUGCGGUCGAUUAGGUUGUUGUUGGGGUAACGGCCCAACAAGCCUGUAAUCGAUACGGGUUGUGGGAGCAAGAGCCCGGAGAUGGAAUCUGAGACACGAUUCCAGGCCCUACGGGGCGCAGCAGGCGCGAAAACUUUACAAUGCAGGAAACUGUGAUAAGGGAACUCCGAGUGCCCGUAUACGCGGGCUGUCCAGGUGUUUAAAAAUCAUCUGAAGAAAGGGCCGGGCAAGACCGGUGCCAGCCGCCGCGGUAAUACCGGCGGCUCGAGUGGUGGCCACUAUUAUUGGGCGUAAAGCGUCCGUAGCUGGACCGAUAAGUCUCUUGGGAAAUCCGCCGGCUCAACCGGCGGGCGUCUAAGGGAUACUGUUAGUCUAGGGACCGGGAGAGGUGAGAGGUACUCCGGGGGUAGGAGUGAAAUCCUGUAAUCCCCGGGGGACCACCGAUGGCGAAGGCAUCUCACCAGAACGGCUCCGACAGUGAGGGACGAAAGCUGGGGGAGCGAACCGGAUUAGAUACCCGGGUAGUCCCAGCCGUAAACUAUGCGCGUUAGGUGU